UACAGAGGGCCCAAGCGUUGUUCGGAUUCAUUGGGCGUAGAGGGUGCGUAGGCGGCGCGGUAAGUCGGGUGUGAAAUCUCGGAGCUUAACUCCGAAACUGCAUUCGGUACUGCCGUGCUUGAGGACUGGAGAGGAGACUGGAAUUUACGGUGUAGCGGUGAAAUGCGUAGAUAUCGUAAGGAAGACCAGUGGCGAAGGCGGGUCUCUGGACAGUUCCUGACGCUGAGGCACGAAGGCCAGGGGAGCAAACGGG
rnacentral:rRNA from 1 species